AAUGUGAAGUUGUACUUUAAUAACAUGAAUUUAUCCCUUGGCUUCGAAUCAUCUCUAGGGAGAAGAGAAAAUACAUUCAUGCUGAGAAGACAGCAUUGAAUUCUUUCCACCCAGCUUGCAGUCCUCAUGGUCUGUGAAGAACAGGGCAUUUGACUGGAUGAUUUUCAAAGCCCUGUCAAGGGAUGUAGACAUGAUGGCUGGAGCUUCAGCAUCCAUAUUGAGCCACGAUGCAACCACAACGAUGGAAGAGCAGAGAGAGAAAAGGAGUCUAGAUUCCUGAGCAUCUUGGAGCCACCAUACCAACCCUGAACCUUAGGCCACAUUGUCUAUCGUUUUCAGGUGUCGAAAGAGAGCUGUCAGAGGAGAAAGUGGCUCAUGGGGUUAUGGAAGCUGAGAAGCGCCACAGUCCGACGUCUGCAAGCUAGAACCUCCUUUCCACGCACCUGCCCGCACCGCAGCACUUACAGUCUCUGCUCUCUGGCCGAGGAUACUUGGCACCUGGGACGCGCACCUGGCUCUAAUUCUCCAGGUACCAGAGCUGUCCUGUGGGACCAAUACGGCAAAACUAAGAUACCUCAAUCCCUGGAGCCCGUGAUAAAAGACAUCUCAACUUUUAUUUUUGUUCUUUUUCUCUCCUAAACCGCCCACUCUGGGGAAAGCCAGCUGCCACCUGGUCACAGCGAUUUCAGAUGGCAUCAACCUCGUCCAACUAGGACGAGAUCAUUCAUAUUUGUUCUUCGAAGCCUCUAAACUUUGGGGGUAACGGGGGACGAAUGCAUCCUUCACGGAGUGACUCGGGGCAGCCACUCGUUCCAUGUUGAGACACCACCAUCUGUGGCCUUUAUUGUUGCCACAGGAGGGGCAGAAAGGGGCAGGUCCAGCCUGUUUAACACCUCAGACGCAUCCUUGUAUAAAUCCUAUUCUUCAGUGAGACAACAGUGUUUUCCACGGUCCGAAAAUGGAAGGGAUCAUAAGAAUGCCAGAAAAGAAACAUAGACAGCAAGGAUUUUCAUGGACAAACUCUGGUGCAUGUAUUUGUAGCAACAAUAAUAAUAGAAAUAAAUAUUACAGGAUGAAAUGAGGGGACAUUCAUAGACAAAUACUUUCUAAAACAUCAAUAAUUUCUUUUGAGGAAGACAACAAAAUCACGAAAUGCUUGCAGGGGUUUAAAGAUUGAUGUGCAUCUAACCUCUGUUACUUUUAAGUUAUGAAUCUCUUGUUCAUUUCUACUCUCUCAGCCCAGAAAUGUUUAGAAGCACAGAAAAUAGGGUCAGAAGGUACCCAAAGCAUGCUCAAAUGAUUCUGAAUGGUUAUGAAAUUGGAUGAAUUUUGGAGAGGACUGCUUUAUCAGCAGUAUUGUUAAGAAUCUACUGUGCGUGGUGAAUCAUUUAAAACACACCCACUUUUGCUUACUUUUAAUAUUGUGUUUAAAUUUCCAACAGAUACGUAUCCCGUUCUUUCUUGUUGGUAGAACAGAUUUCUCCCAUUGUCCGCACAUGGCAUGGCACUGUUGAGAGAGAUCUGUUUACUGGGCAGGUCUUCUACCCAAAUCCCAUCGUCCAUGGUCCCACCUACAGGGGUAUGUAUGCAUGUCCAGGGGACUGCGUGAUCUUCGUAUGUCCAUAAUGCUCAUUUCUGUGAGCAUUCCCCAAAUUCCUGUUCAUCUUGUCCCUUUUAUCUCUACAUGAUUUCAUGGUUUGAUUGACAAGCUUUCUUUUCAAGUUAUAUGCAUAUAGCCCCACCUUCUUUUAUUAAAAAAAGCAAUGGCUUUUAAUGGCUUAAAACAUUUUUGAGCCUCUAUUUUAGUAGAUCAAUGCAGAAUCUAAUUCUUGUUCUAAGCUGUAGGUCUAAAAAUGAUUGUGGGACCAUAUGUUCGCUGAUGUUGGUGACUUAUGUUAUUAAACCUUUCCUGAAAGGUUCACUAUAAAAGCUGAAAUACAUUCUUAGCUUUUAAUAGUCAGGUAGAUUUUAAGGAAAAAUAUAUAUGAACGUACAAAGGAGGCAUUUUUUGUAUUCAUUUUGGACUCCUGUCAAUAAAGGUUGACUCAAAAAAAAAAUCACAGAAGUUCCAAAUAUUACAUUGGGUUGGGAUUCAGAGUUAAUGCCUCAGGCAAACAUUAUACACCUGCUAUUUAUUGGGUUCUGUGUGUUGCUAGAAUCGUCAGAAUAAAUUUCCUAUUUUUAGGAACUCAAAGGUCUUGUCCCUCCUCCAAGAUUCAGAUUCACCUUCCCCCGUGCAUUUAAUAAUCUGGAUGACCCUGAAUUCUGCAGAAAGCCUUCAGGUUCAUGAAAUGUAUUUACUGUUUCGAGACCAUCUUGCGUAUGAAAAAGUAAAGGUCACCCUACACAUUUUAUAUGUCUGCACCCCAUUAAAUGACAUCAUCAGAAGCGUGCAUAAAGGAUUGCUUCAGAAAAUUUAAACGUCACAGUUUGCACGCCCCUGUGGCCUCCCCCAGCUCGGGUGAGUAAAGACCAGAUCCCAGUUUCAGGAACGCUGCUCUGGCGUUAGCAUCCUUUCGGGUGAGGGAGAGACCAGAGAAACUCAGCUGAAAUGCAGAAAGCAAACACUGAAUUCCUGAUUUAUCUUUUUCUCCACAAACUAACUUAUUUUCCCCACACUGACCCCAGACAAGCUGCAUUUUCUACAGCAGACUAUGUGUCAUAAAUAAGUCACACACUUGGGUUGGUGUGUUAGUAAAUUUUCUACCAGAAAUACAGACAUUUUAAAUUCCAUGGUGUUUUACGGGCAAAAACUUUCUGACGUUUUUACGGCCUUCAGAUCAUAUUUCUUAAGUUUCUUCGUACAUUGGCAUGACCACGGCUGCUGCCGAUAUUCACGGAGUGCAUGCAGUAUGUCAGCCCAGCUUCUGUGACAUUUUAACACAAGAAAUUACCUCUGGAUUUGUUCCGACUUUCUCUACAUUAUUAUUUUUUUUUCCCCUUCAAGCAAACCAUCUAUUUAUCCACUGGACAAUAUUCCAGUAAC